rnacentral:rRNA from 1 species
CCUACGGGGGGCAGCAGUGAGGAAUAUUGGUCAAUGGCCGGAAGGCUGAACCAGCCAAGCCGCGUGAAGGACGAAGGUGCCAAGCAUUGUAAACUUCUUUUGUCAAGGAACAAAAUCAGGCACGAGAGGCUGACCGCGGGUACUUGAAGAAAAAGCAUCGGCUAACUCCGUGCCAGCAGCCGCGGUAAUACGGAGGAUGCGAGCGUUAUCCGGAUUUAUUGGGUUUAAAGGGUGCGUAGGCGGUGUGUUAAGUCAGCGGUAAAAGCCCGGGGCUCAACCCCGGCGAGCCGUUGAAACUGGCUGGCUUGAGAUGAGGAGAGGUAGGCGGAAUGCGCAGUGUAGCGGUGAAAUGCUUAGAUAUUAGGAAGAACUCCGAUGGCGAAGGCAGCAUACUGGCGGCGAGCUGACGCUGAGGCACGAAAGCGUGGGUAGCGAACAGGAUUAGAUACCCUGGUAGUC